CAAUCACUAUUUGUAAUUGAAACCCUAACUAUCAAAAAGUGAUUCUGAUUCCAUCAAUCUUGCCUAAAAUCUGAUGUGUUCUUCGAUCUAAACAGGUUGACAUGGAGGACACAUUCAAUCCACUAUCUGAGAUAACGUAGCUGAGUGAAGCAUCUUUGUAGAUUGCAGCCUUGCGUGAACCGGAUGAAGAUGUAUAUGAGGAACCAAUAGUGGACAUUGAUGAUGUUGGCAAGAAUUAUCACCUUGCAGUGGUGGAAGAGAUGUUUCUCAUCCUGUAAACAUUGAUCAACCAACCUCCAUGCAGUUUGAAUAAUCUCACUAAACCAGUAGGUGUGGGCUAUGAAAUUUAACAUGAAUCGGUCGCGACAGGUUGCGAACCCGUUCUCUUUUACACCAUUCUACUUUUGGUGCAAUGUUUUUUUGAUGCUCAACACGUGCCUUUGGUCUUAGAGCUCAUGUGUUCAGUUUUUGUUGUUUAUGUUUUUAGGUUUGUGGCAUUGUUAACUUAAUUUUUCACUGUUCGUUAGGUGA